rnacentral:siRNA from 1 species
UCUUUGAACGCAAGUUGCGCC